CAGGUUUCAAACUGGUUCUGUACAGUUUGUCUUUGAAAGUCAACGUUUGUCAAAGGUUUCUAAAUGAAUUCCAAACAAAAGCUACUUUAAAAAGACCUCAGGACAUCAUUUCAGCAAACAGACCCACCUUUAGAAGACCUGAAUGUGUAUUUGCUUAUCUCUUCAUAAUCCCCACAAAAACAUCACCAUGUAUGUAUGUUACACACCUAAAGCCAUGAUUGCAGCUCUCACAUCCUGACAGGCUGCAGGGCAAAACAAAGCUUGAGAAAACUUAUGCGGGAAGAGGGAGGUUUGUUCAGAAUCUGUAUGUGAAUUUUGUGGGAAGCCUCAUCGUAAAGACUGUCCCCCAUCCAUACUUGGCAACAGA